UUUUGUUGGAGAGUUUGAUCCUGGCUCAGGACGAACGCUGGCGGCGUGCUUAACACAUGCAAGUCGAGCGGAAAGGCCCUUCGGGGUACUCGAGCGGCGAACGGGUGAGUAACACGUGAGUAACCUGCCCUGGACUUUGGGAUAACCCUCGGAAACGGGGGCUAAUACCGGAUACCUCCUUCUGGCCGCAUGGUUGGUUGGGGAAAGUUUUUCGGUCUGGGAUGGGCUCGCGGCCUAUCA
rnacentral:rRNA from 1 species